AUGAACAGAUGUCUCAGGCUCACCUUGCCUGAGCUGUGAAACAGGAGGAGGAAGAGAUCCAGCCCAGUGGGUCUUUAAAACUGUGAGCUCCUUGAGGGCAAAAUGCAAGUGUUUUCUCUCUGGUGUUUUUGCAUGGAACCUGCCUGGCUCAGGGCUAGGCGCUGGGUCUAGGGAUGGGCUCCUAGAUACCCGUGGCUCAUCAGGGAGGCAGGCGCAGAGAAGGCUGAGAUCUGGAAGCUUGACAAGGUAUCUCUCUGUCUGAAAAUGCUGGGGCCCUCCUCCCCAUAGGGACUAGUAGGAGCAAAGCUUGACACCUCAACCCCUAAACCCCUUGUUUCGCCCAUUCUGUGUCUCCACCCUUCUUGACACUUGCCUAGGUCAGAACCAUCCAGUCCUGGACAUGGGACCACAUCGGCGACUGCAGUGGACGUGGCUGGGCCGGGCUGAGCUGCAGUUUGGGAACCAGACACUGCAUGUGUCCACCGUGCAGAUGUGGCUGCUGCUGAAAUUCAAUCAGACAGAGGAGGUGUCAGUAGAGACCUUGCUGAAGGAUUCUGACCUCUCCCCAGAGCUGCUGCUCCAGGCACUCGUGCCCCUCACCUCAGGGAAUGGCCCUUUGACCCUGCAUGAGGGCCAGGACUUUCCACACGGGGGUGUGCUGCGGCUUCAUGAGCCUGGGCCCCAGCGCAGUGGGGAGGCCCUGUGGCUGAUACCUCCCCAGGCAUACCUGAACGUAGAGAAGGAUGAGGGCCGAACCCUGGAACAGAAGAGGAAUCUCUUGAGCUGUCUUCUUGUUCGUAUUCUCAAAGCCCAUGGGGAAAAGGGCCUUCACAUUGAUCAGCUGGUUUGUCUGGUGCUGGAGGCCUGGCAGAAGGGUCCAAAUCCUCCUGGAACCCUGGGCCACACUGUUGCUGGGGGUGUGGCCUGUACCAGUA
rnacentral:sRNA from 1 species